rnacentral:rRNA from 1 species
GACGAACGCUGGCGGCGUGCUUAACACAUGCAAGUCGAACGGAAAGGCCCUGCUUUUGUGGGGUGCUCGAGUGGCGAACGGGUGAGUAACACGUGAGUAACCUGCCCUUGACUUUGGGAUAACUUCAGGAAACUGGGGCUAAUACCGGAUAGGAGCUCCUGCUGCAUGGUGGGGGUUGGAAAGUUUCGGCGGUUGGGGAUGGACUCGCGGCUUAUCAGCUUGUUGGUGGGGUAGUGGCUUACCAAGGCUUUGACGGGUAGCCGGCCUGAGAGGGUGACCGGCCACAUUGGGACUGAGAUACGGCCCAGACUCCUACGGGAGGCAGCAGUGGGGAAUAUUGCACAAUGGGCGGAAGCCUGAUGCAGCAACGCCGCGUGCGGGAUGACGGCCUUCGGGUUGUAAACCGCCUUCGCCUGUGACGAAGCGUGAGUGACGGUAAUGGGUGAAGAAGCACCGGCUAACUACGUG